CAGCAAAACUUCUAACAGCUUGAAACAUCCCAAGAGGUUUCUUUUCUAAGCACAGACCCUGCCUGACAUAUAUUUAGAUACAUUAAUGAAGCAUUAAUAGCCACACAGCUGAUUCAGCGGUGCUGGGAUCUUGCAGAGCACCACACACAGAAUGCAGAGAGACCUGAGUGACUUUUUUGAGCUCCUCAUUGCUCUCUUUCACCAUUCUUCAUUUUCUAAUCCUUAAUUAGCCUGACACAUCUCAAUGAAGCUGAAGAGCCAGAAUGAGGUCCUGCUCAUGAGCAGAAAUUUCCAUAUCUGAAUGUUCCUGUUAAAAUCAAUUUUUGAAAGGAUAUAUUCAUAUGGAUAAAGUUAGGUUCAGAGCAUGAAGAGGAGCUGGCACACCAUGACCCUCGGUGUCACCUUCUGCACACAUCCCCAUUAGCCUGCAGAAAUGAGAUACUUGUUCUGUAUCUGUCCUUGCUUUAAGUGGGACCAUCGGAAUGAAGCACUCUGCCCAACAUUAUCCAAGCCACAGAUAUGGACAUUUUAUGUCUAUUCAAAAGAAAACUCCAUUCAGAAGCUGAGAACACAGUUCUAUGGAUCCUUAUGGGAACAAAAUGCUGCACAGUACUGUCCUUCAGAGGGUGACAUAGUAUUUAGAAGCAGAACAAGUACUGACGUGCAGAAUCAAACUCUAUAACCACAAAGUAGUUACAAAAUCAGUUUCUGCGGACCCUUUCUUACUGAACCCUUGCUUACUCUUCAGAACUACCCAAAGUCAUGGCAAGUAGGAUAACCCAAGGAACGAGCUAACAAGGCUCAGUCAGCCUCAUGGACUAAGUUAUAUGCUUUCUUGGAAAUCAUGGGAUAUACAGGUAGCAAGGACCACUGAAGGACUCUGGUCAAGCCCUCUUCUCAAGGACUAGAUCAGGUUGUUCAAGGUACAACUUCUCUUGUUCUAAUUCUAUCUUUGGCCAUUCUCAUUAUGAAAACAUUUUUUAAUUAAAUUUCCUUUAU
ensembl:lncRNA